GGAUGCUUCCCAACACGAGAGACGUCCUGAAGAACAUAAAAGGGACGAAAGCAGACACGCAGCAAGUAAACGGGAAGAAGGGAAGUAAGAAGAUUAGAAAAACGGACGUUGAAGCAAACUUACAGGACAUGUCUACGCGGCGGUGGCUGCAACAACACGGGCUAUCUGCUCUCGGCCUCACAACCACCGACGUCCUGCCAGCGACCGCUCCGCCGCGUGGUGGCGCCACCCGCGCACGACGAGCCGACAAACUACAGCGCCCCAAGACGUUGGACGGAGUGUUGUCUGUGCGGCAUUUAUCCUGGGAGAGGAAAGGAAGGUUUGCCAGCUCCUCUGAAGUAAAUCUGAUAGCAUAUGAGAA